rnacentral:rRNA from 1 species
GCAACAGCUCAAAUUUGAAAUCUGGCCCUAGGCCGAGUUGUAAUUUGGAGAGGAUGCUUCUGGCGCGGCGCCGUCCGAGUUCCUUGGAACAGGACGCCAUAGAGGGUGAGAGCCCCGUACGGGCGGACGCCUAGCCUUUGUGAAGCUCCUUCGACGAGUCGAGUAGUUUGGGAAUGCUGCUCAAAAUGGGAGGUAAAUUUCUUCUAAAGCUAAAUACCGGCCAGAGACCGAUAGCGCACAA